GCCAUGGUGCUCGAUGGUUGAUGGGUUAACUGCCAUCAUUUUGACGUCACUCCACAUCAACGUGCUAUCGGUUCCGCCAACCAGAAACAGUUUUGGGGACUAAUGUGAUGGAAUUUGAGGAUGCUUCUAGCUUUGAUAUUUCUUCAACAGCCUUCAUAAUUUCAGCAGAACUUGUUUCAAGCACCUGACCUCCAAAANNNNNNNNNAAAAUUGUAUGCAACUUGCUGUAAUUGAACACUAUGUCAAGCUCACAUACAUUUCUGAAGCAUUUGUCCAGUGUUUCUACAAAAACUUGAAUGAGAUCUAGCACGGCAAGCUCAUUUUCACAGGUAUCAAAUACAAACACAAAAUAAAGAGUUGCAUAGUGUUUGUACACAAGACGACUAUCCGGACCAAAGAUAGAAUCAGCCUCCAUGAAAUUGCUAACAUUCUCAGCUCUACUGCAUAACACUCCAAAUACGCUGCGUAUAAGCUCCUGUUGUUUGUCCACAGUCAAAAAAUCAUAAAAUUUGGCAAGGCGAGGUUUGCCUUGGGUAUUUAUUACCAUCACCGCCUUUAUCAUUUUCACCUCCCUCACCGAUUCCCCAGGCGAGCGGCUCCGCUAAUUUAUGAUCUCUGAUUUCUCUUUCCUUCAGAAUUUGCCUCAUCUGUACCUAAUACCAAACAGAUAUA
rnacentral:misc_RNA from 1 species